rnacentral:lncRNA from 1 species
GUGAAAAGAACCCAGUCUUUUAUCCCGAGCUAGACUGGAUCGUUGGUGGUGGACUUGCUGGCGCGGCUGCUGUAGGCAAAGGAGGCGGAGCUCUUCGCCGCGCGGCCGAGCUGGAGGAGCGGCUGCGGUAGGCGGCCGCCGAGAGGCAGCAAUGGUGCAGCCGCAGCAGCAGCCGUGGGCGGACGCGGCGCGGCGUAAGCGGAAGCUUUGGCGCGCCUGCGUUCUUCUUCGAGCGGCUGGUGCAGUGGUUGAUGGAGCACCAGUAGUACCUGCACCGACAGUUCCUGAAUGCCAUUGUUCGGGCGUUAACCCUUGUUUAGGCAGUAUCUAGGAUAAAACAAACUAGUCGUAGGUAGCGGUACGCUGCAAUUACAGCUUGCAUGCAGCCCGUGCACCAAGGCUCCUUUCUUUUGUAACUUGCACCUGGUUUUGUACCCAGCACCACUUCAUUGUACCUCGUCCUCUUGGGAUAUCUACUUAAAUCAAAGCUCACAGCAGCAAUCGGGAUCCAAUCGGAGCCCUAGUGCAAACAACCUCAAAGGUGUGAGUGUGUUCAUCCCC